rnacentral:lncRNA from 1 species
CCCGGGUUCACGCCAUCUUGCCACUAAACCUGAUUUACCAACAUAACCUGUUUCUGGCCAUGCUGUGAAUCUGCAUUCUUUACUGUGUCCUUGGGAUACUAGGUCUCUGAUCAAGUGCCACAUCUUUAGAGAAGCUUUUCCAAACAACCUAAAUUGUGAAGAGAGUAACUAUACACCACAUGGCUUGACAAUAUCCAAACAUCAUUCUUGUUCUACAAAAGUUACAAAUGGAGAAGCCCUGGGAGAAUGCAGUCCACAGGGGUCUUUACAGUGUUCCAUAAUCAACUAUUUCUUGAACAAGCCAACUGGCCAAAAUCUCUGAAACAAUAUUGAAAAAUAUGGUGAGUCUUGUUCUUAAUUUUAAGAAGAAUGCUUUGAAGAUUUCAUGACUGUCAUGCUAGCUCUAAGUUUUUGGAAGAUGUCUUUUAUCCGUUUAAGAAAAUCCCCUUCUACCAAUAAGCUACUAAGAUUUUUCCUUUUAUCACAAAUGAUUUUUCACUUUAUUUAAUAACUUUCCCAAAUUUUUAAAGAUGAUUAUGAGUUUUUACUUCUUUCUCUUUAUAUGUAAGUUACAUUAAUAGAUGUUGAACUGUCCUUUCAUUCCUGGACAAAUGCCCCUUCAUUCCUGAACAAAGGCUAAUUUGUUCACAAACGUGUUAUUUAUUAAUGCAUUAUUAUAUUUAAUUUGCUAAUAUAUUGUUGAGGAUUGUUAUCUCUCUAUGUUUAUAAGUGUGUUUGGCCUGCAAAUUUUCUAUCUUAUACUGUCUUUUUCUGGUUUUGGUGUCGUGGUUAUGCAAUUUUCAUAAAGAGCUUUAAGAAGUAUGCCAUUUUUUCUCUUUUUUGAAAGUUUUGUUAAGUAUGUUCUUUGAAUGCUUGUCAGAAUUUGUCCGUAACAACUUUUGAUCAUUCAUAUUUGCAAUUCUUAUGUAUUUAAGUUUGGUAACUUACUAUUUUUUUUCUUGGAUUUUCUCUAUUUUACCUAAGUUUCAAAUUUAUUAACAAAAGUUUCUUCAGAAUAUUGUCUUCUAUUUUUAUUUAGCUAUGUUUUUAUUUUAUUUCUAAUAUCGGUUAUAUGUAUCUUCUCAUUUUUCUUCUUCUUUAAAGAGCUUGUUUAAUGUCAUUAGUGUUUUCAGAGAAUCAACUUUUGUGUUUAUUGAUUUUUCACUAUUUCAACUUUAUUUUCUAUUUCAUCAAUUUCUCUUCCUAGUUUUUUUCUUAUCAUUUUCUUUCUUCUGCUUUCCCUGGUUUCAUUCAGUUGAUAUUUAUUUGUCUUUGAAUGUUGAUUUUAAUGAGAAUAAAAUUAUUGUCUGUCAAUCAUUUUUCUCAGUACUUUGUAUACAUCAUUCUACAGACAUAUGGCUUCGUAGCUGAUGUUCAGAAAUCAGCUGUUAAUCUAAGCUUUAUUUCAUUUAGAUAAUCUGAUUAGAUUGAUAUUGGAUCUUCUCAUACUAAUCUUCAUGAUUAUUAAAGUUUUAAUAUGUCUUUAAUAAAUUCUGAAUUAUCUCUCUAGCUCUAUUUCUUAACUUAAAAUUUCUUUCUGCAGUGUUGUUAAAUCUUAUCAUUAUGCCAUCUGUUGAGCAUUUAAUUUCGGUGAUCAUAUAUUUUUUAUUUCUACAUGUUCUACUUAGUUUUUUCUCAUGUUUUUUUCUUAUCUGUUUACUCCUUUUUUAUUUUAAGUACUUUAUAUAAACUUAUAUUUGGAAUGUGAACUGAAUUCAAUAUCUGUAAUUAUUAUAAAUUCUCUAGUUUCUUGUUUCUGCUGAUUCUUACUUAUUGUAACUUAUUUCCUCAUGUGCUUAGUAAUUUAUUUUUAUUGUUAUUUCAUAUUCCUUGUAAUUUGAUCUGGGGACUCAUUGAGGCCUUUAUUAAAAUGUGUUCUUCCAGAA